rnacentral:rRNA from 1 species
UAUGGGAUAGCCACUAGAAAUGGUGGGUAAUACUGUAUAAUCCCUGCGGGGGAAAGAUUUAUCGCUACUGGAUGAGCCUAUGUUAGAUUAGCUAGUUGGUGGGGUAAUGGCCUACCAAGGCUGUGAUCUAUAGCUGGUCUGAGAGGAUGAUCAGCCACACUGGAACUGAGACACGGUCCAGACUCCUACGGGAGGCAGCAGUGGGGAAUAUUGGACAAUGGGCGCAAGCCUGAUCCAGCUAUGCCGCGUGAGUGAGGAAGGCCUUAGGGUUGUAAAACUCUUUCAGCAGGGAAGAUAAUGACGGUACCUGCAGAAGAAGUCCCGGCAAACUCCGUGCCAGCAGCCGCGGUAAUACGGAGGGGGCAAGCGUUGUUCGGAAUUAUUGGGCGUAAAGGGCAUGUAGGCGGUUUGGUAAGUUAAAGGUGAAAUGCCAGGGCUUAACCCUGGA